GUGGGGAAUAUUGGGCAAUGGGCGAAAGCCUGACCCAGCAACGCCGCGUGAAGGAAGAAGGUCUUCGGAUCGUAAACUUCUAUCCUUGGUGAAGAUAAUGACGGUAGCCAAGAAGGAAGCCCCGGCUAACUACGUGCCAGCAGCCGCGGUAAUACGUAGGGGGCAAGCGUUGUCCGGAAUGAUUGGGCGUAAAGGGCGCGUAGGCGGCCUGGUAAGUCUGGAGUGAAAGUCCUGCUUUUAAGGUGGGAAUUGCUUUGGAUACUGUCGGGCUUGAGUGCAGGAGAGGUAAGCGGAAUUCCCGGUGUAGCGGUGAAAUGCGUAGAGAUCGGGAGGAACACCAGUGGCGAAGGCGGCUUACUGGACUGUAACUGACGCUGAGGCGCGAAAGUGUGGGGAGCAAACAGGAUUAGAAACCCCUGUAGUCC
rnacentral:rRNA from 1 species